rnacentral:rRNA from 1 species
GACGAACGCUGGCGGCGUGCCUAAUACAUGCAAGUCGAGCGGACUGAAUGGGAGCUUGCUCUUGUUCGGUCAGCGGCGGACGGGUGAGUAACACGUGGGCAACCUGCCCGCAAGACCGGGAUAACUCCGGGAAACCGGAGCUAAUACCGGAUAACACCGAAGACCGCAUGGUCUUUGGUUGAAAGGCGGCGCAAGCUGCCACUUGCGGAUGGGCCCGCGGCGCAUUAGCUAGUUGGUGAGGUAACGGCUCACCAAGGCAACGAUGCGUAGCCGGCCUGAGAGGGUGACCGGCCACACUGGGACUGAGACACGGCCCAGACUCCUACGGGAGGCAGCAGUAGGGAAUCUUCCGCAAUGGGCGAAAGCCUGACGGAGCGACGCCGCGUGAGCGAAGAAGGCCUUCGGGUCGUAAAGCUCUGUUGUGAGGGACGAAGGAGCGCCGUUUGAAGAAGGCGGCGCGGUGACGGUACCUCACGAGGAAGCCCCGGCUAACUACGUG